UACGUAGGGUGCGAGCGUUGUCCGGAAUUAUUGGGCGUAAAGGGCUCGUAGGCGGUUUGUCGCGUCGGGAGUGAAAACCAGGUGCUUAACACCUGGCUUGCUUUCGAUACGGGCAGACUAGAGGUAUGCAGGGGAGAACGGAAUUCCUGGUGUAGCGGUGGAAUGCGCAGAUAUCAGGAGGAACACCGGUGGCGAAGGCGGCUCUCUAGUACGGUACUGACGCUGAGACGCGAAAGCGUGGGGAGCGAACAGG
rnacentral:rRNA from 1 species